rnacentral:rRNA from 1 species
UCGAGAAUCUUCGGCAAUGGGGGAAACCCUGACCGAGCGACGUCGCGUGGUGGAUGAAGGCCUUCGGGUUGUAAACACCUGUUGGGGGGAAACGUGAACCCCUGAGGAAGCACGGGCUAAGUUCGUGCCAGCAGCCGCGGUAAGACGAACCGUGCAAACGUUACUCGGAAUCACUGGGCUUAAAGCGCACGUAGGCGGCGACAUAAGUUAGAGGUGAAAUCCCAUCGCUCAACCGUGGAACGCCUCUAAUACUGUGUUGCUUGAGGGAGAACGGGGCAUUCGGAACUUCCGGUGGAGCGGUGAAAUGUGUUGAUAUCGGAAGGAACGCCGGUGGCGAAAGCGGAAUGCUGGGUCUCUUCUGACGCUGAGGUGCGAAAGCUAGGGUAGCGAACGGGAUUAGAUACCCCAGUAGU